rnacentral:rRNA from 1 species
GAUGAACGCUGGCGGCGUGCUUAACACAUGCAAGUCGAACGGAAAGGCCCAAGCUUGCUUGGGUACUCGAGUGGCGAACGGGUGAGUAACACGUGGGUGAUCUGCCCUGCACUUCGGGAUAAGCCUGGGAAACUGGGUCUAAUACCGGAUAGGACCACAUUUUGGAUGGUGUGGUGGAAAGUUUUUCGGUGUGGGAUGAGCUCGCGGCCUAUCAGCUUGUUGGUGGGGUAAUGGCCUACCAAGGCGUCGACGGGUAGCCGGCCUGGGAGGGGGUACGGCCAAGGUGGGGGAUGGAGAGAGGGCCGGGCCCCGGGGGGGGGGAGGGAGGGGGGAAGUUGGCAAGGGGGGGCCAGGCGUGAGGGGCGGGGGCCGGGGGGGGGGGGGCGGUUGUGGGUUUGUAAGCACCUUUGGGGAGGGAAGAAGGUGUUUUGGGAGGGUACGUGAAAAAAAAGCCCCGGCUAACUACGUG